rnacentral:rRNA from 1 species
CGCGUAGGCGGCUGUUUAAGUCAGAGGUGAAAGCCCGGGGCUCAACCCCGGAAUAGCCUUUGAGACUGGACGGCUUGAAUCCAGGAGAGGUGAGUGGAAUUCCGAGUGUAGAGGUGAAAUUCGUAGAUAUUAGGAGGAACACCAGUGGCGAAGGCGGCUUUCUGGCGACAACUGACGCUGAGGCGCGAAAGUGUGGGGAGCAAAAC